rnacentral:rRNA from 1 species
UGGGCACUCUAAGGAGACUGCCGGUGACAAACCGGAGGAAGGUGGGGAGUGACGUCAAGUCAUCAUGGCCCUUACGGCCUGGGCUACACACGUGCUACAAUGGUCGGUACAAAGGGUUGCCAAGCCGCGAGGUGGAGCUAAUCCCAUAAAACCGAUCGUAGUCCGGAUCGCAGUCUGCAACUCGACUGCGUGAAGUCGGAAUCGCUAGUAAUCGUGAAUCAGAGUGUCACGGUGAAUACGUUCCCGGGCCUU